CUACCCUUGACAUGUCCGGAACCCUGCUGAGAGGUGGGGGUGCCCGAAAGGGCAUCGGAACACAGGUGCUGCAUGGCUGUCGUCAGCUCGUGUCGUGAGAUGUUGGGUUAAGUCCCGCAACGAGCGCAACCCUUGUCCCUAGUUGCUACGCAAGGGCACUCUAGGGGGACUGCCACGGAUAACGUGGAGGAAGGUGAGGAUGACGUCAAGUCCUCAUGGCCUUUAUGUCCAGGGCUACACACGUGCUACAAUGGCCAGUACAAUCCGUCGCCAACUCGCGAGAGGGAGCCAAUCGGACAAAGCUGGCCUCAGUUCGGAUUGCAGUCUGCAACUCGGCUGCAUGAAGCUGGAAUCGCUAGUAAUGGCAGAUCAGCAUGCUGCCGUGAAUACGUUCCC
rnacentral:rRNA from 1 species